rnacentral:rRNA from 1 species
CUUUUAUGGAGAGUUUGAUCCUGGCUCAGGACGAACGCUGGCGGCGUGCCUAAUACAUGCAAGUCGAGCGGAGUCUUACACUUUCUUCGGAAAGUGUUUG